UACAGAGGUCCCCAAGCGUUUGUUCGGAUUCACUGGGCGUAAAGGGUGCGUAGGCGGUCGGGUAAGUCUGAUGUGAAAUCUCACAGCUUAACCGUGAAACUGCAUUGGAUACUAUUCGGCUAGAGAGUUGGAGGGGGGACUGGAAUUCUUGGUGUAGCAGUGAAAUGCGUAGAUAUCAAGAGGAACACCAGUGGCGAGGGCGAGUCCCUGGACAACUUCUGACGCUGAGGCACGAAAGCUAGGGGAGCAAACAGG
rnacentral:rRNA from 1 species